ACGGUGGAUGAUGUGGAUUAAUUCGAUGCAACGCGAAAACCUUACCUACCCUUGACAUGUCCGGAAUCCCGAAGAGAUUUGGGAGUGCUCGCAAGAGAGCCGGAACACAGGUGCUGCAUGGCUGUCGUCAGCUCGUGUCGUGAGAUGUUGGGUUAAGUCCCGCAACGAGCGCAACCCUUGUCAUUAGUUGCCAUCAUUUGGUUGGGCACUCUAAUGAGACUGCCGGUGACAAACCGGAGGAAGGUGGGGAUGACGUCAAGUCCUCAUGGCCCUUACGGCCAGGGCUACACACGUGCUACAAUGGGGCGUACAGAGAGCUGCGAUACCGCGAGGUGGAGCCAAUCUCUUAAAGCGUCUCUCAGUUCGGAUUGUUCUCUGCAACUCGAGAACAUGAAGCUGGAAUCACUAGUAAUCGCAGAUCAGCUAUGCUGCGGUGAAUACGUUCCCGGGUCUU
rnacentral:rRNA from 1 species